rnacentral:rRNA from 1 species
CUACGGGUUGCUCCAGUGAGGAAUAUUGGUCAAUGGGCGAAAGCCUGAACCAGCCAUGCCGCGUGAAGGAUGACGGCCCUACGGGUUGUAAACUUCUUUUGUACGGGAAGAAACCCCUCUACGUGUAGAGGUUUGACGGUACCGUACGAAUAAGCAUCGGCUAACUCCGUGCCAGCAGCCGCGGUAAUACGGAGGAUGCAAGCGUUAUCCGGAUUUAUUGGGUUUAAAGGGUACGUAGGCGGAAACUUAAGUCAGUAGUGAAAUCCCGCAGCUUAACUGUGGAACUGUUAUUGAUACUGGGUUUCUUGAAUAUUGUUGAGGUAGGCGGAAUAAGUAAUGUAGCGGUGUAAUGCUUAGAUAUUACUUAGAACACCGAUUGCGAAGGCAGCUUACUAAGCAACUAUUGACGCUGAGGUACGAAAGCGUGGGGAGCGAACAGGAUUAGAUACCCCCGUAGUC